CCUGGCACAUAGGAGCUUCAUAAAUGUGUGUUGAUUUAUUUAUUGAUCUCCAAUGCCUAGCA
rnacentral:pre_miRNA from 2 species